UACUCCAAAAACAUCCUGCUCAAAAUCCUGGUAGUUGUUGAUUUUUGGACUAUGUUGUCUAUAUUUUGCUUUAUCAUUGACUAAAGGAAGACAAGCUACCUAAAUGUGACUUAUCGGAUAGUGUUGAAGCAGGACAUGUUUUUGAGUUACGUUUUUAGCCAAAAGCCUUGUAUUUAAGCAAAACAAGAGCUGAAGAAGGGAACCAUGAAGAGGAGCUUGGAGUGGGCAAGGGAGAGGCUGAUAAAGCAGCAAAGACCUGAUUCAUCAAGUAUCACAGUUAAUUCCGGUGAUUCUCACCUGGUUGGCAUGCACAACACCGCAAGAGGACUUGAGCCCUAGGACCAUGCCUCAGGACUACCUGACAUGAUGACUCCUUGCUGUCCCCAGUCCACCUGGCCGUGCUGCUGCUCCAGUUUCAACUGUUCUGCCUUAUUAUUAUUGGACCAUGCUGGUCAUUUAUGAACAUUUGAUCAUCUUGGCCAUGUUCUGUUAUAAUCUCCACCCGGCACAGCCAGAAGAGGACUGGCCACCCCACAUAGCCUGGUUCCUCUCUAGGUUUCUUCCUAGGUUUUGGCCUUUCUAGGGAGUUUUUCCUAGCAACCGUGCUUCUACACUUGCAUUGCUUGCUGUUUGGGGUUUUAGGCUGGGUUUCUGUACAGCACUUUGAGAUAUCAGCUGAUGUACGAAGGGCUAUAUAAAUAAAUUUGAUUUUAUUUUAUUCCGAACUUACUAGGUGGUCAUGCAAUAAACGUUUUGGAUAAUUCCCCUUAAA